rfam:Schistosoma margrebowiei strain Zambia genome assembly, scaffold: SMRZ_contig0008900
GAAUAAACAGCUUAGUGGUUUAAGCGUUUAACUUAAAAACAACCGAAGGUUUAAACCCUGUUUUAUUCA